CUCACUUUGGCGGGACAUAUACUAAAAUUGGAACAAUACAGAGGUGAUUAGCAUGGCCCCUGCUCAAGGAUGACAAGCAAAUUCAUGAAGCGUUCUGUAUUUAA